rnacentral:rRNA from 1 species
GACGAACGCUGGCGGCGUGCUUAACACAUGCAAGUCGAACGCGAAAACCCUUCGGGGUGAGUAGAGUGGCGAACGGGUGAGUAACACGUGGGCAACCUGCCCCAAGGAGCGGGACAACCCGGGGACACUCGGGCUAAUACCGCAUGAUUCGCCGGCACUCAAGUGCCGGCGGCAAAUGGUAGCUUCGGCCUCCGCCUUGGGAUGGGCCCGCGGCGCAUUAGCUUGUGGGUGAGGUAACGUCUCACCAAGGCGACGAUGAGUAGCUGGUCUGAGAGGACGAUCAGCCACACUGGGACUGAGACACGGCCCAGGCUCCUACGGGAGGCAGCAGUGGGGAAUCUUGCGCAAUGGGCGGAAGCCUUACGCAUCAACGCCGCGUGUGGGAAGACGGCCCUCGGGUUGUAAACCACUUUCAGGGGGGACGAAGCUUCCAGGGUUAAUGGCCCAUGGGGUGACGGUACCCCCAGAAGAAGCCCCGGCUAACUACGUGCCAGCAGCCGCCGUAACAC